rnacentral:rRNA from 1 species
UACGGAGGUUGCGAGCGUUGUUCGGAAUAACUGGGCGUAAAGGGAGCGCAGGCGGUCUGACCAGUCCAAAGUGGAAGCCCGGAGCUUAACUUCGGAAGUGAUUUGGAUACUAUCAGACUCGAGUUCGUGAGAGGAAAGCGGAAUUCCAGGUGUAGCGGUGAAAUGCGUAGAUAUCUGGAGGAACACCGGUGGCGAAAGCGGCUUUCUGGCACGAUACUGACGCUGAGGCUCGAAAGCAUGGGGAG